AGUGAACGCUGGCGGUAGGCCUAACACAUGCAAGUAGAACGGCAGCACAGUAAGAGCUUGCUCUUACGGGUGGCGAGUGGCGGACGGGUGAGGAAUACAUCGGAAUCUACUUUUUCGUGGGGGAUAACGUAGGGAAACUUACGCUAAUACCGCAUACGACCUACGGGUGAAAGCAGGGGAUCUUCGGACCUUGCGCGAUUGAAUGAGCCGAUGUCGGAUUAGCUAGUUGGCGGGGUAAAGGCCCACCAAGGCGACGAUCCGUAGCUGGUCUGAGAGGAUGAUCAGCCACACUGGAACUGAGACACGGUCCAGACUCCUACGGGAGGCAGCAGUGGGGAAUAUUGGACAAUGGGCGCAAGCCUGAUCCAGCCAUACCGCGUGGGUGAAGAAGGCCUUCGGGUUGUAAAGCCCUUUUGUUGGGAAAGAAAAGCAGCAGGUGAAUACCCCGCUGUUCUGACGGUACCCAAAGAAUAAGCACCGGCUAACUUCGUG
rnacentral:rRNA from 1 species